UGGGGAAUAUUGCACAAUGGGCGCAAGCCUGAUGCAGCCAUGCCGCGUGUGUGAAGAAGGCCUUCGGGUUGUAAAGCACUUUCAGCGAGGAGGAAGGUGGUGAGCUUAAUACGCUCAUCAAUUGACGUUACUCGCAGAAGAAGCACCGGCUAACUCCGUGCCAGCAGCCGCGGUAAUACGGAGGGUGCAAGCGUUAAUCGGAAUUACUGGGCGUAAAGCGCACGCAGGCGGUUUGUUAAGUCAGAUGUGAAAUCCCCGGGCUCAACCUGGGAACUGCAUUUGAAACUGGCAAGCUAGAGUCUCGUAGAGGGGGGUAGAAUUCCAGGUGUAGCGGUGAAAUGCGUAGAGAUCUGGAGGAAUACCGGUGGCGAAGGCGGCCCCCUGGACGAAGACUGACGCUCAGGUGCGAAAAGGCGUGGGGCAGCAAAACAGGAUUAGAUACCCUGGUAGUCCACGCUGU
rnacentral:rRNA from 1 species